rnacentral:rRNA from 1 species
UACAGGGGGUGCGAGCGUUAAUCGGAAUUACUGGGCGUAAAGCGUGCGUAGACGGUCAUGUAAGUCGGAUGUGAAAGCCCCGGGCUCAACCUGGGAAUUGCAUUCGAGACUGCAUGGCUUGGGUGCGGAAGAGGGAAGCGGAAUUUCCGGUGUAGCGGUGAAAUGCGUAGAUAUCGGAAGGAACACCAGUGGCGAAAGCGGCUUCCUGGUCCGACACCGACGUUCAGGCACGAAAGCGUGGGAGCAAACAGG